CUCUCUUUUUUGUAAUUUUUAUUUUAUUUGAUUACGAAUUAAGUUCACGGGUAAUUUUAUAAAAAUUGAAUAAUCGAUGUAAGAAUCAUAUUGCACUUUGUUAUGGUAACUUUUUUAUAUGGGAAAAAAACUAAACCAAACAACUAAAUAUAUCGAUCAAUAUAAUCGACUGUUAUAUCUAUAUGGACAAUAUCAUUCAUAAAUUAUUAUAUUCGUUGACGAGAACAAAUGUUUUACCAUCGAAAAAAAAAUAACAGGAAAAAUUGUCACAGCAACACACCACACAUAUGCAAUUUAUUAAGCCACUGACUUGACUGGUAUA